GGGAAUAAAAAUGUGAGGUGACCACAGAGAUGAGAAUAACAGGGGUUGGAAAUUUUACCAGGCUAGUGGGAGUAAAGAGAAAUCUACGAACACACACUACAGCUUUGAGUAAAUGAGAUAACAGAGUUAUCAGGAGAGUGGUGUGGACCCAAGUCACCUGUAUUAGAACUGUCUCAGAGAGGCAAAUAUCACAGCUGAUGGACUAUAGAAAUUUUAAUCACACGCACACACACUCACGGACACACACACUCACAAGUUUCGCAUGCUGGAGAAUGCGGGGAAGAUGCCUCUUUACUGUUGAUGGAGAGGACAGGAUGCUGUGAUGAAUCUCAUGCAGCAGGUGUCUGAUGGACUAUUAUUUAAUCUCUGCUUUGGGAAAGAGCAAUCAAAUGGUAGCUGUUGGUAUUUGUUUAAUAAAAACUCCAGAUGUUGACAAUGUU